GUCUACAGCCAUGCCACCUUGAACGUGCCCAAUCUUGUCUGAUCUCGGAAGCUAAGCAGGAGUGGGCCUGGUUAGUACUUGGAUGGAAGACCACCUAGAAAUGCCAGAUGCUGUAGGCA
rnacentral:rRNA from 1 species